rnacentral:lncRNA from 1 species
GCCGAUAUGCUGCCGGAGCUGAAAAUCGAAACCAGCGCCCCUCCUCCGCCCAGAUCUGCUCAGCGCCUCUGCUCGAGCUCGAAGCCGGUCGCCGCACCUCGUCAACCGAGCGACCGACCGUCGCGCGCGCACCACCGCCCUCACUGACGUCGCCGCGCCGAUCUCCCUCGCCGAGCCCCUGCUGCGUCCUUGCCCAUCACCGCGCCUCACCCGCGAC